rnacentral:rRNA from 1 species
AGCGAACGCCGGCGGCAGGCUUAACACAUGCAAGUCGAGCGGGCACCUUCGGGUGUCAGCGGCGGACGGGUGAGUAACGCGUGGGAACGUGCCCUCUGGUUCGGAAUAACUCAGGGAAACUUGAGCUAAUACCGGAUACGCCCUUUUGGGGAGAGGCUUGCUGCCGGAGGAUCGGCCCGCGUCUGAUUAGCUAGUUGGUGAGGUAACGGCUCACCAAGGCGACGAUCAGUAGCUGGUCUGAGAGGAUGAUCAGCCACACUGGGACUGAGACACGGCCCAGACUCCUACGGGAGGCAGCAGUGGGGAAUAUUGGACAAUGGGCGCAAGCCUGAUCCAGCCAUGCCGCGUGAGUGAUGAAGGCCUUAGGGUUGUAAAGCUCUUUUAUCCGGGACGAUAAUGACGGUACCGGAGGAAUAAGCCCCGGCUAACUUCGUG